AGUUUAAACACUGGGCUUGGUGAGCACCUCGUGGGAUCCCGAAUGCCGUGUCCAGCGUGCCUCCCAGCCCCUGAGGACAGCAGCUAGGAGACACCCAGGGCUGUGCCUGGAGCCAGCAGCAGCACACAGGCUCAGAGGUCUGUCAAGGAGCUUUACGCAGCCGUGACUCAGAGAGAGGCAUCAGUGGAGAGAGUCUGUAGACACAGCCAGCAGCUGUCAUGUGGAGGGCAUUAAUAAUGUAUAUGCAGGUAUCUAUGCAUGACCCAUGAGC
rnacentral:lncRNA from 1 species